rnacentral:lncRNA from 1 species
AUGUUUCUGACGUGUUUUCCUGUCCUCCAGAGAUCAGGAAUAACGUUCAGAUCGCAGCUAAGUUCCACCCUCAGUUCUGGCAGGAGGGCGAGUGGCUGUGCUGUGGGCAGGUGGAUAAACUGGCCCCGGGCUGCGAGGGAUACAACCUGUUCGGAGACAUUUCACGCAAACCUCUUCCUCCUGUUCCUGGAGACGAGAGCAGCACGACACGCCGGCCCCCGCCUCCCCCGCCACCCGCAGUUGAGACGGCACAGGAAGAGGCGGACCCUCAAGAGGAAGUGGUCAUCGCACUGUAUGACUUCGAGGCGCUGGAGCCUCAUGAUUUGA